ACUGGAGAGAGAUGCUAGCACUGCCUUGGCAGAAUAUUAAGAAAGGGAUUUGAAGGCUUGAGAAGGGAAGAUGUUAGAUUGGGUUUACUAUAUGAGAAGAGAGUACCUUCUAGCUGACUAGAUUCCUCAACAGGGCCAGGAAGAAACUUCCUUCAUUAAGACAUCAAGAAAUAAAGACCUGAAGUCAAGGGCAAAUGAUUCUCUCAGACCAGUUGGAGACUAUGUAUAGACAAAACAUUCAACGGAGUAUGUCCAAAGAACCAGAAUCUUCCCCCUUUCCACUGAGAUAAACCUAGUGCUGUUUACAAUAGCUAGGACAUGGAAGCAAUCUAGAUGUCCAUCAGCAGAAGAAUGGAUAAGAAAGUUGUGGUACAUAUACAGAAUGGAAUAUCCAGUUCAGCUCAUUUGCUCAGUCAUGUCUGACUGUUUGCAACCCCAUGGACUGCAACACACCAGGCCUCCCUGUCCAUCACCAACUCCCAGAGUUUACCCAAACUCAUGUCCAUUGAGUCAGUGAUGCCAUCCAACCAUCUCAUCCUCUGUCAUCCC
ensembl:lncRNA